CCAAAUUAUUGUAAAAGCUAUCCAUAAAUCUGCUUUUAAAAUACAAAAUAAAAUAACAAAACGUUUUGUUGAAACCACUCCCCAUUCCUUUUCUGCGUGAUAAAGCGUUAAUAGCUCUGAAGCGUAUUUUUAGAAGAUCCUAAUAUAAUUUAUCUUCAGGAUAGCUACAGAACCAUAACACAACCAUCCCAUAAAACUCAAAUGAAAUUCAACCAUUUAUUUAUAUUCCAGUUUAGAAGACCGCUACACAGCAUUUACAAAACCUUUUUAUACAACCAUAAUUUGUUCGUUCGGAAACGUCAAAGCAAUUUAGUCGUAUAAAAAGCCUAUGCCGGAAUAACAUGACAGAGCGCAUCGAAGUGUCAAAAAUAAUACCAAUUUGAGAUGGCAGAAAACAAAUUUGUUUUUUUUAUUCCCUGCAAUAUUAAAUGAGGUAUGAGGGCCGUCGAAAUCACGACGAGAAAAAGUAACCUGUGUAACCUGAGCUGCACAAUUCGGCGAUUAUUUUCCAGUCAAAUCAUACCCCCAGCCAAUUUCCGGAUGUUCACUGUAUGCCACCAUCGGAGAAAACAUUUUUCGAGCAACACAGCCACAAGAACCGCCUGUACUUUACCGUAUCGGCUGUCGGAAUAAUGGAAUUGUCAUUACCGGAACACUGCCGUAACGGUGGCGAACAAUUCCGGGAUGAUAGACCCACAAAAAGCAACAACUAAACUCUGCCAUGUUGACCAUCAAUUCAUAAAAAGUGAUAAAUAUUGUGUUAGUGACCCAGAUAGUUGAGAUAAAUAAAGGAAUGAAGUUCUUUUUUUU